UACGAAGGGGGCUAGCGUUGCUCGGAAUUACUGGGCGUAAAGCGCACGUAGACGGCUUUCUAAGUCGGGGGUGAAAUCCUGGAGCUCAACUCCAGAACUGCCUUCGAUACUGGAGAGCUUGAGUCCGGGAGAGGUGAGUGGAACUGCGAGUGUAGAGGUGAAAUUCGUAGAUAUUCGCAAGAACACCAGUGGCGAAGGCGGCUCACUGGCCCGGUACUGACGCUGAGGUGCGAAAGCGUGGGGAGCAAACAGG
rnacentral:rRNA from 1 species